GCCAGGGAACUACGAGCGCAAGCUUAAAACCCAAAGGACUUGACGGUGUCCCACCUACCUAGAGGAGCCUGUUCUAUAAUCGAUAAUCCCCGAUACACCCCACCUCCCCUCGCAUAUGCCCAGCCUGUAUACCUCCGUCGCAAGCUUACCGCCUGAGCGCCCCACAGUAAGCUAAAAGAUCAGAACAUUCCACACGUCAGGUCAAGGUGCAGCCUAUGGGGCGGAAAGAAAUUGGCUACAAUUUCUAUCUUAGAACACACGGAAAGCUGUUGCAACACAGCUCUGAAGGCGGAUUUAGAAGUAAAAAGAAAAUAGAGAGUUCUUUUUAAACUAGCACUGGGACAUGUACACACCGCCCGUCACCCUCUUCAAAACAACCAUACACAUGUCCUUAACACCUUAAACCUAAGAAGAAGAGGCAAGUCGUAACAUGGUAAGUGUACUGGAAAGUGCACUUGGAUGACAAAAUGUAACUUAACAAAAGUACUUUGCUUACACCAAAGACAUGUCUGUGAAACCCGGACCAUUCUGAGCUUAAAACCCAGCCCCUCUAAACUAACCAAACAAACUACAAACAAAUAAAACAUUUUCUCACCUAGUAAAGGCGAUUGAAAAGUACUUAGGAG
rnacentral:rRNA from 1 species